rnacentral:lncRNA from 1 species
CUCCUUAACCGCACGGCACCCAACACCGACAGGGAAUCCAACAGGAAAACCCCAUGGCAAAACUCCAAAAAUCCAACUUCUAAAAUCAUACAUAAAUCCCACUAUUAAAUCCAAAUCCCACAAAAAUCCAAUCAAAAUCCUCAACCACUAAAAAACAAAUUCAUCACCUACGUACCUCAAGUAAUAAGUGAGAAAACACUACCAAAUUCUCCUCUACUGC